rnacentral:tRNA from 1 species
AGAAAAGUAUUUAAAUUUUAUAAAGUCUAAUUUGCAUUUAGAAAUUGUACUUACCUUUUCUG